rnacentral:misc_RNA from 1 species
GAUGAAGAACGUAGCGAAAUGCGAUAAGUAAUGCGAAUUGCAGAAUUCAGUGAAUCAUCGAAUCUUUGAACGCACAUUGCGCCCUCUGGUAUUCCGGGGGGCAUGCCUGUUCGAGCGUCAUUAUAACCACUCAAGCUCUCGCUUGGUAUUGGGGUUCGCGGUUUCGCGGCCCCUAAAAUCAGUGGCGGUGCCUGUCGGCUCUACGCGUAGUAAUACUUCUCGCGAUUGAGUUCGAUAGGUCUACUUGCCAGUAACCCCCAAUUUUUACAGGUUGACCUCGGAUCAGGUAGGGAUACCCGCUGAACUUAAGCAUAUCAAUAAGCGGAGGA